rnacentral:tRNA from 1 species
AAUGAAUUGCCUGAUAAAAGGAUUACCUUGAUAGGGUAAAUUAUAUAAGACAUUCUUAUAUUCAUUA